UACGUAGGGUGCGAGCGUUAAUCGGAAUUACUGGGCGUAAAGCGUGCGUAGGCGGUUCGUUAAGUUCGUUGUGAAAGCCCCGGGCUCAACCUGGGAAUGGCAAUGGAAACUGGCGAGCUAGAGUGUGGCAGAGGGGGGUGGAAUUCCGCGUGUAGCAGUGAAAUGCGUAGAGAUGCGGAGGAACACCGAUGGCGAAGGCAGCCCCCUGGGCUGACACUGACGCUCAGGCACGAAAGCGUGGGGAGCAAACAGG
rnacentral:rRNA from 1 species